rnacentral:lncRNA from 1 species
UAAUGUGUAUCGUAUCUCUGGGCCAAGUUUAUGUGACACACUCAGCUGAGAAAUUGUAAUUUGUGUACGAAUGAUUGCAAGGGUAGGACAAAAUUAGUGAAAUCACAUAAAGAUCUCAUUGCAACUUUAUAAAUGGCGUUAUAUGCAGCAGGCUUUGCACCUGACCAGGCAAAAGUAGGACUUUUCAUCUUGACAGAAGUCAUGUAUGUACAUUUCACUCUGCCCACCCCCCGAAAACUCCCCCUCCACCUUUUUGAUAAAAAAAUGAAUUCGGGGUGGGGGUCCAAAAACUGUCCUUCACAGUUUAGGUAAAAUGUAAACAUAUUUAUCAUUCUUGAAGCUCUAGAGUUUAGGCAGUGAGCCCUACUGAUGAAAAAAUCAAAGUUGGAUGUGUUUACACCAGAAUUAACUGAGCAUAUUUGGUAUUAGGUAAUGGACACACGCGUUAAUUGCUAAAGGAAAGACAAUUGGGUGAUCCCUAAAAUACUGAUGCCUAAAGUACUGAUGACAUCAUCAUCUUCCUGACAUGCCAAAGGAACACCUCCCUCCGAAGUGAUAGUCAC